rnacentral:rRNA from 1 species
UAAAGUAUAUGUAUUAAAACCGUAACUUAAUAUGGUAAGCAACUCAAUACGGGUAGAUAAGAACGAUUCAAAUCAACUUAUAAACGUACUUUUAGUAUAUUACUUAGUAAAUGAUCAGUAACACAAAGAAAACGUCUUUUCACGCUGUUCCGUGAUAUUAGAUGUUCAAAGACAGAUCUUUCUUAACUCCUUGUUCUAGUGCCCGUUCUUCUCUUCUUUCUCCCUGAGUUCGAACUUCUUCUAAUUUCGAAUCCCCCCGAUCGAAUUCUUCACCUCCCUAGUAGAACACGGUUUUCUUCCUUCUUCCUCCCGGUUUCACUUUUGUAAGUCUAGACUAGCCUCCCCUAGUUUUAGGGAUCGUCGGAGGUAAGGGUUUGGCCCGGACCGUAGAGGUAGAGAGAGGGAGUGGGGAGGAAGAGGUGGAGGCCGGCGGCGGUGCCGGUCCGGCCGCACCACCACGCGGAGGCGGUGGGUAGGUCGGUAGGUAGUGGUCGUGGUGGCGUGGGGUCGCGCGGUGAUUGCGGAGGUAGGUGGUGGACGCGGUAGGUAAGUGGUGGUGUGGAGCGCGCUGGAGAGGGAGGUCGGCCGCGCGGAGAGGGACGACGAAAGGGUUAAAGAAGAAGGGGACGACAAGGAGAAGGAGAGAGGAACGCGGGGGAACGACGACUAGAAGAGGUGAAUGACGACGAGAUGAAGGAACGGAGGAAACGACGACGAGGAGAGAGGUCGCGGGGUAAGACGAAGAGGAGAACGACGACGACGGGGGUUGGAGGACGACGAUAGAGAGAUAUGAAGGGGACGAUGGGAAGAAGAGACUUGGAUGGAUGACGAAGAGAGAGAGAGAGACUUUAUAGACACGUUAACUCUACAAACUCCGAAACAUUCCAAGUCUGAAACAUUUUAAGUCUUAACUCUACACAUACCACACAUUACAAGUCUAAACUGAUCACGUUCGUAGAACAAUAAACAAGUCAAACCAUGACCAUAUUAUAUCAUGAACAAUACAACCUAGACUGAUCAACUCCGGAACAAUUAAACCGUCUAAUAACUAGAUAAUCUUAAACGAAGACACUUAAUCAUAAGACGAUCGUAUACUUACACAAGUGGGGAACACACAAACAGGGAAUGACUUUAAAUAAGGCAACAGGUACACAAUCGAGGUCAUGUACACGAUAUAUUUAUGUACACACAAACACUACAUUUGGUAGAUAUAACACAGAAUAUUAGAACAAAGAAGGUAGAGAAUGUACAAUCUAUCAGUAAACACAAGUGAAGGGAAAAUAGCUAUUACAGGC